AUUCACUCAUCUGAUUUUUUAAGACCAUUCAAAGUGUUCUCUCAAUCUUCAACCUCAAGAACACCAAGGAAAACUUGGAGGCUAAGUCUUGGUCUAGGAAGUAUUUUCCCUAAGUUGGUUAGGGUUUUUUUGAAAGGUUUUGGAGGAGCCAAAGCUAAUAGGAAGGUCCAAACCUUAAGCAAGAACACCAAAGAGGUAAGAACAAGGGCAAGGCAGAGCAGUGAGCGCUGGAGUCUUCCUUGCAAAUGUACAUGUGGACCGACCUUUUGGGAAGCCUUUUUAUUUUUGGAAAUGUUGUGUAAUUUUCCUAAACUAGGCUCACUCUAAUCUUUAUAAAACAUGUCUGUAACUAAAUGUUAAGUAUGGCC